GAUGAACGCUGGCGGCGGGCCUAAUACAUGCAAGUCGAACGAACAGACGGGUAGCUUUCUUCUCUGUAGUUAGCGGCGAACGUGCGUAUAACGCGUGCAUAACCUACCUAUAAGACGGGUAUAACUUCGAGAAACCGGAUCUACUACCAUAUAAUAUUGUGAACCGCAUUGUUCAAGGUUAAAAGACGGGGGUUCUGGCACGUAUAGAUGGAUCCGCGGCGCAUUGGCUAGGUGGUAAGGUAACGGCAUAGCAAGCCAACGAUGCGUAGCCGAGGUGAGAGGGUGAUCGGCCACACUGGAACUGAGACUCGGUCCCGAGUCCGACGGGAGCCAGCAGUAGGGAAUCGUACGAAAUGGGAGAAAUCCUGACGGAGCACCGCCGAGUGAGUGAUGAAGGUCUACGGAUCGUAGAACGCUGUUAUCAGGGAAGAACAUAUGUGUAAGUAACUCGGGACGUAUUGACGGUACCUGAUCAGAAAGCCACGGCUAACUACGUG
rnacentral:rRNA from 1 species